rnacentral:rRNA from 1 species
UAGGGAAUCUUCCACAAUGGGCGCAAGCCUGAUGGAGCAACACCGCGUGAGUGAAGAGGGGUUUCGGCUCGUAAAGCUCUGUUGUUAAAGAAGAACACGUAUGAGAGUAACUGUUCAUACGUUGACGGUAUUUAACCAGAAAGUCACGGCUAACUACGUGUCAG